rnacentral:rRNA from 1 species
CCUACGGGAGGCAGCAGUGGGGAAUAUUGCACAAUGGGGGAAACCCUGAUGCAGCGACGCCGCGUGAGUGAAGAAGUAUUUCGGUAUGUAAAGCUCUAUCAGCCGGGAAGAUAAUGACGGUACCUGACUACGAAGCCCCGGCUAACUACGUGCCAGCAGCCGCGGUCAUACGUAGGGCGCAAGCGUUAUCCGGAUUUACUGGGGGUAAAGGGUGCGUAGGUGGCAGGGCAAGUGAGAUGUGAAAGCCCGGGGGUCAACCCCGGUACUGCAUUUGAAACUGUCCAGCUGGAGUGCAGGAGAGGUAAGCGGAAUUCCUAGUGUAGCGGUGAAAUGCGUAGAUAUUAGGAGGAACACCAGUGGCGAAGGCGGCUUACUGGACUGGAACUGACACUGAGGCACGAAAGCGUGGGGAGCAAACAGGAUUAGAUACCCCUGUAGUC